GUGCUCACUUGGGCAGCACAUAUACUAAAAUCGGACGGACGCAGAGAAGAUUAGCAUGGCGCGUGUGCAAGGAUGACACAAAUUUGGGAAGUGUUCCAUAAAAUG
ensembl:snRNA U6 U6 spliceosomal RNA